UACAGAGGUCUCAAGCGUUGUUCGGAUUCAUUGGGCGUAAAGGGUGUGUAGGUGGCUCUGUAAGUCGGGUGUGAAAUCUCGGGGCUUAACUCCGAAACUGCAUUCGAUACUGGGGUGCUUGAGGACUGGAGAGGAGACUGGAAUUCAUGGUGUAGCAGUGAAAUGCGUAGAGAUCAUGAGGAAGACCAGUGGCGAAGGCGGGUCUCUGGACAGUUCCUGACGCUGAGGCACGAAGGCCAGGGGAGCAAACGGG
rnacentral:rRNA from 1 species